rnacentral:rRNA from 2 species
AGCUGGCGCGUGCCUAUAAUGCAGUCGAACGAGUUCUCGUUGAUGAUCGGUGCUUGCACCGAGAUUCAACAUGGAACGAGUGGCGGACGGGUGAGUAACACGUGGGUAACCUGCCCUUAAGUGGGGGAUAACAUUUGGAAACAGAUGCUAAUACCGCAUAGAUCCAAGAACCGCAUGGUUCUUGGCUGAAAGAUGGCGUAAGCUAUCGCUUUUGGAUGGACCCGCGGCGUAUUAGCUAGUUGGUGAGGUAAUGGCUCACCAAGGCGAUGAUACGUAGCCGAACUGAGAGGUUGAUCGGCCACAUUGGGACUGAGACACGGCCCAAACUCCUACGGGAGGCAGCAGUAGGGAAUCUUCCACAAUGGACGCAAGUCUGAUGGAGCAACGCCGCGUGAGUGAAGAAGGCUUUCGGGUCGUAAAACUCUGUUGUUGGAGAAGAAUGGUCGGCAGAGUAACUGUUGUCGGCGUGACGGUAUCCAACCAGAAAGCCACGGCUAACUACGUGCCAGCAGCCGCGUAAAUAA